GAUGAACGCUGGCGGCGUGCCUAAUACAUGCAAGUCGAGCGAACAGACGAGGAGCUUGCUCCUCUGACGUUAGCGGCGGACGGGUGAGUAACACGUGGAUAACCUACCUAUAAGUCUGGGAUAACUUCGGGAAACCGGAGCUAAUACCGGAUAAUAUAUUGAACCGCAUGGUUCAAUAGUGAAUGACGGUUUUGCUGUCACUUAUAGAUGGAUCCGCGCCGCAUUAGCUAGUUGGUAAGGUAACGGCUUACCAAGGCAACGAUGCGUAGCCGACCUGAGAGGGUGAUCGGCCACACUGGAACUGAGACACGGUCCAGACUCCUACGGGAGGCAGCAGUAGGGAAUCUUCCGCAAUGGGCGAAAGCCUGACGGAGCAACGCCGCGUGAGUGAUGAAGGUCUUCGGAUCGUAAAACUCUGUUAUUAGGGAAGAACAAAUGUGUAAGUAACUAUGCACGUCUUGACGGUACCUAAUCAGAAAGCCACGGCUAACUACGUG
rnacentral:rRNA from 1 species